CAGCCGCCGCGGUAAUACAGAGGGUGCGAGCGUUAAUCGGAUUUACCGGGCGUAAAGCGUGCGUAGGCGGCUUCUUAAGUCGGAUGUGAAAUCCCUGAGCUUAACUUAGGAAUUGCAUUCGAUACUGGGAAGCUAGAGUAUGGGAGAGGAUGGUAGAAUUCCAGGUGUAGCGGUGAAAUGCGUAGAGAUCUGGAGGAAUACCGAUGGCGAAGGCAGCCAUCUGGCCUAAUACUGACGCUGAGGUACGAAAGCAUGGGGAGCAAACAGGAUUAGAUACCCCAGUAGUCCCUGUCUCUUAUAC
rnacentral:rRNA from 1 species